rnacentral:lncRNA from 1 species
UGGAUACAGGUCUGAAAUACAUAUGGUAAACUGUUUCUUUUUGAAUGCUCAAUCUUUGUUGCAGUUUAUGGUUCUUCAUUUAGAUUUCGCUCUUAAAAAAUGAAGAAAAAUUUGGAAUUAACACAAUCUUUGUCUGAGUGAUAAUUGUCGUAUUAAAGAGUUACUCCAAACGGGAUUUAGAGUUCUAAUGGGACGUGUGGAUUUGUAAACUUAUGAAUUGCUGAUCUACAAUUAAUAAAUUGGAUCAUUUGUUUACUGGAUUAUUCAAUUCAUUUUCUUUUGGUUUGUUGUGCAAGAGAAAUCUCAUGGAGACGGAAGAGUUGGCUUGGAGAAUGCCUAGAUUUCAAAGGACGACAUCCUUUCCCUUGCUAAGAAGGAUGAUAAAAGUUACCCUUAAUCUGUAACACUACUGUAACCGACAGCUUGCAUUUUUGAAUUUCAAAGGACGACAUCCUUUCCCUUGCUAAGAAGGAUGAUAAAAUUUCUUAUGUAUGAAAUUUUUCAAGGAGUGCUACAUUUUGGGAUCUUGAAUACAACUUUAGAAUAUCAAGUAUGUCGUGUGACAAAAUACACGCAAAAAAUGGUGGCUUCAAAGAAAGAAAACUUUGCUUUCAUCUGCUUGAUUUAAUUUUUAUGUUUGCUUAAUCUGAGUAUCAAUAUGAUUUUUCUUUCUUUCUUUCUUCCUUU